rnacentral:rRNA from 1 species
AUGGGUUCUGUGGGGGAUCAACCUGUUUCUGCACGCACUGCCUUGGCAUACAUGGAAUCAGGUGGCCAUAUUUCACAUGCUUUGUCCGUGUAUAGCUGUCAACUUCGCCAACCCAACCAGGUGAAGAAACUAACUGAGAUACUUAAAAAUGUAUUCCAUGAAGUCAGCAGGUCCCUCGAUUUGUCCUUCGCUGAUGAUUCUACUGCCCAGGAAAAGAUCACAUUCCUAGUAUACCUAGCUAGUUUCUUAAAUGCGACCAAGCCCAAUCCUUGUCAACCUCCAGCUGGAUGUUUGAACUUCAGGAAACUUGUUGCUGAAUUUAUGAAGAGCUACCACCACAUCCCAUUAAAUCCUGAUAAUUUUGUUGUAUUCCCUUCCCGUGCGGUGGCAGUCGAAAAUUAUCUUCGACUGUUCUCACCAGCGCUUGCAAUUGUUGAUGAACAUUUGACCAGACACUUGCCCAUGCAAUGGUUAGGAUAUUCAGAAAUCGAGGGAAGAAUAGAUUGCAACAAUGCUGAAGGCGUGAUCACUGUAAUUGAAGCACCACGCCAAUCAGAUUUACUGAUUGAGUUGGUCAGAAAACUGAAGCCUCAGGUUGUCGUUACUAGCAUUGCCCAGUUUGAGGCUAUCACCAGUGCUGCUUUCUCGAACAUACUAAGCGCAACAGAAGAUGUUGGUUGCCGGUUGUUCCUAGAUAUUUCAGAGAACCUGGAGUGGUCUUGUCUGCCAAGCUCAAAUGGUGUGUUGAAAUAUCUUAUUGGAAACACCCUACCUUCGCAUGCUUUCUGUGAAGGAGACUUAUAUACCAUUUCGUUUAUUCUGAUCUGGAAGUUGCUUUUGCCAUUUCUGAGGAUGCUUCUGUCUGCAAGGCAUUGUCACAAACAAUUGAGCUAUUGGAAGGAAAUACUUCUGUGA